AUUGAACGCUGGCGGAAUGCUUUACACAUGCAAGUCGAACGGCAGCACGGGGGCAACCCUGGUGGCGAGUGGCGAACGGGUGAGUAAUACAUCGGAACGUGCCCAGUCGUGGGGGACAACGUAGCGAAAGUUACGCUAAUACCGCAUACGAUCUACGGAUGAAAGCGGGGGACCGUAAGGCCUCGCGCGAUUGGAGCGGCCGAUGUCAGAUUAGGUAGGUGGUGAGGUAAAGGCUCACCAAGCCGACGAUCUGUAGCUGGUCGGAGAGGACGACCAGCCACACUGGGACGGAGACACGGCCCAGAGUCCUACGGGAGGCAGCAGUGGGGAAGUUUGGACAAUGGGCGCAAGCCUGAUCCAGCCAUUCCGCGUGCAGGACGAAGGCCUUCGGGUUGUAAACUGCUUUUGUACGGAACGAAAAGGCUCUGGUUAAUACCUGGGGCUCAUGACGGUACCGUAAGAAUAAGCACCGGCUAACUACGUGCCAGCAGCCGCCGUAA
rnacentral:rRNA from 1 species